rnacentral:misc_RNA from 1 species
GCAGCUUGUAAUUGGUGGAGAUCGCCUCGUCUCUGUUUUUAUCCUAGUUAUUUCUUGAUUGGUCUGCAUGGAUAUUGGUUCUAGUUCUUUGCUCCUUAGCUUUUGCUGGUUGUUUGCCAUACUGUGGGGUUCUUCAGUUGCAAUAGCUUAAAGGGGUUGCCCAGCAAAGAAUCAUGUGGAGUGUAGCUGUUUUGGGAAUUUCGAUGCUUGUGGUUUGGCUUUGGCUUUGGAUGUUUUGCUUGGCGUCCUUAGUUGUGUUCUAGGAUUGGUUCAUUGGUUGUCGUUAGCUCUGUUUUGUAGCCUUUUAUUUCUUAACUUGGUGUUCGUCUCAGGUUGUCCAGUUAUGUUUUGUUCAGCAAGUCCUUGUGUUCUAGUGCUGUAUGUUGCCAGGAUUGGUUUGUUGCCAAGGUCAUGAUUUUUGUAUCUGGUUCCUAUAGCUGGUUAUCUGGCCAUUGCUAUGUUUUUAUAAAUU